rnacentral:rRNA from 1 species
GACGAACGCUGGCGGCGUGCCUAAUACAUGCAAGUGGGACGCAAGGGAACACACUGUGCUUGCACACCGUGUUUUCUUGAGUCGCGAACGGGUGAGUAACGCGUAGGUAACCUGCCUAUUAGCGGGGGAUAACUAUUGGAAACGAUAGCUAAUACCGCAUAAUAUUAAUUAUUGCAUGAUAAUUGAUUGAAAGAUGCAAGCGCAUCACUAGUAGAUGGACCUGCGUUGUAUUAGCUAGUUGGUAAGGUAAGAGCUUACCAAGGCGACGAUACAUAGCCGACCUGAGAGGGUGAUCGGCCACACUGGGACUGAGACACGGCCCAGACUCCUACGGGAGGCAGCAGUAGGGAAUCUUCGGCAAUGGACGAAAGUCUGACCGAGCAACGCCGCGUGAGUGAAGAAGGUUUUCGGAUCGUAAAGCUCUGUUGUAAGUCAAGAACGUGUGUGAGAGUGGAAAGUUCACACAGUG